UAGACAUUGUAAAGGGAAGGAGGGGGCUGCAUCAUCAAAAUAUUACCCCUGACUCCCAUAUACACCUCAUUCAGACCCAUUAAAAACUGGAACACCUUAUUAUCAUCACAUUCCUGAAUUAUACCAUCUUUUGCAGCACAUGCACACCUUAGACCAUGAUUAACACACAUAGAAUCAAGUUCAUCCCACACACUUUUCAGUUUGUUGAAAUAAGAAGCUACAUCGGAGGAACCUUGAGAGGUGUGGGACAUCUCUCUUUUCAGUUCAUAUAUUUUGGUCCUAUUUGCAGUCCCAUAUCUGGUCUGGAGUUGAGACCAGAUGCUCUGUGCAGUGUCAGCAUACUGCUGUGUGGGACAUUUCUCUUUUCAGUUCAUAUAUUUUGGUCCUAUUUGCAGUCCCAUUUCUGGUCUGGAGUUGAGACCAGAUGCUCUGUGCAGUGUCAGCAUACUGCACAGAUUCAGCAAUUGCAGGGGAAAGGGAAGCAAUCAACCAAGAGAUCACCAUACUGUUGCACCUAUCCCACAACCUUUGUUGAGCCACAUUGGUGGCAGGUCGGGUGUAUGUGCCAUCAACAAAGCUGAUUUUAUUUUUGGCCGUUAAGGCAAUAAGCAUUU
rnacentral:lncRNA from 1 species